UACGAAGGGGGCUAGCGUUGUUCGGAUUUACUGGGCGUAAAGCGCACGUAGGCGGAUUGUUAAGUCAGGGGUGAAAUCCUGGAGCUCAACUCCAGAACUGCCUUUGAUACUGGGUAUCUUGAGUAUGGAAGAGGUAAGUGGAAUUGCGAGUGUAGAGGUGAAAUUCGUAGAUAUUCGCAGGAACACCAGUGGCGAAGGCGGCUUACUGGUCCAUAACUGACGCUGAGGUGCGAAAGCGUGGGGAGCAAACAGG
rnacentral:rRNA from 1 species